rnacentral:rRNA from 1 species
UAGAGUUUGAUCAUGGCUCAGGAUGAACGCUAGCGACAGGCUUAACACAUGCAAGUCGAGGGGCAGCGAGGCGGUGCUUGCACCGCUGUCGGCGACCGGCGCACUGGUGAGUAACACGUAUGCGACCUGCCCCCUACAGGGGAAUAACCCGUAGAAAUGCGGCCUAAUUCCCCAUAGUCCCAAAGGCUGCAUGGCCUUUGGGGGAAAGGUUCACUCCGGUAGGGGAUGGGCAUGCGGCGCAUUAGCUAGUUGGCGGGGUAACGGCCCACCAAGGCGACGAUGCGUAGGGGUUCUGAGAGGAAGGUCCCCCACACUGGUACUGAGACACGGACCAGACUCCUACGGGAGGCAGCAGUGAGGAAUAUUGGUCAAUGGGCGAGAGCCUGAACCAGCCAAGUCGCGUGAGGGAAGACGGUCCUACGGAUUGUAAACCUCUUUUGUCGGGGAGUAAUAGGCGGGACGUGUCCUGCUGUGAGAGUACCCGAAGAAAAAGCAUCGGCUAACUCCGUGCCAGCAGCCGCGGUAAUACGGAGGAUGCGAGCGUUAUCCGGAUUUAUUGGGUUUAAAGGGUGCGCAGGCGGCGUGCCAAGUCAGCGGUCAAAGUUCCGGGCUCAACCCGGUGAUGCCGUUGAAACUGGUGUGCUUGAGUGCGUGCGAGGGAGGCGGAAUGCGUUGUGUAGCGGUGAAAUGCAUAGAUAUGACGCAGAACUCCGAUUGCGAAAGGCAGCUUUCCAGCACGCCACUGACGCUGAGGCACGAAAGCGUGGGGAUCGAACAGGAUUAGAUACCCUGGUAGUCCACGCAGUAAACGAUGACUACUAUCUUUUCGGUCCGAUUGAGGAUUGUGAGGAACAGCGAAAGCGUUAAGUAGUCCACCUGGGGAGUACGCCGGCAACGGUGAAACUCAAAGGAAUUGACGGGGGCCCGC